rnacentral:lncRNA from 1 species
GAAUGAAGGAAGGUUUGGAGGGUAUUUAUAGGAAAAAAAAUUUGGAAGUUGGAAAAAUAGGUGGUUGAAAAGUGAAUAAUUGUGGGUAAAUGUGAAUAAAUGGGGAAGGUAAAAAGUUGAAAGGGUGUAACGUUCGUCUCCAACGGCUCCUUAACGUUCACCUAGUCUGAAGGGCGUUACGCUCGUUACAGGUGCAUGACGGGCGUCACAGGUACUUAGCGUGACGUCCGUGACAGAAUGUGUGACGCUCGUCACACUGUCUGUUUGGCAUGGUUUCAGCUAGCGUCCUUCUGAGUGACUUGGUAGGUUAUUAUAUUUUUUUUUUUUUUUUUUGUUUGUUUUGCUACUGAUUGAUUUAUUCUGCAAUUUAAUUUCUCCUGCAUGCUAUUCUGCUUUGUGUAAUAGUGCAUAUAUAAUUCAAUAAGUCAUAGGUAGCAACAGUAGAGAACAUAAUAGCUAUUGCAUAAUAAAAUUAAAUAAAUAGCUUCAAUAAAAUGAUCAUAAUGUAAUAUUGGAAAGAAAAACAAAAAUGCGAAAGGGAAACAAAUGCGAACAUGAAUUUAAA